rnacentral:rRNA from 13 species
AGUGGCGGACGGGUGAGUAACGCGUAGCUAACCUGCCUUUAACUGGGGGAUAACAUUCCGAAAGGGAUGCUAAUACCGCAUAAAGCAACUGGAUCGCAUGAUCCUGGUUGUUAAAAAUUUCGAUUGGUUAAAGAGGGGGCUGCGUGCUAUUAGUUAGUUGGUGAGGUAACGGCUUACCAAGGCAGCGAUGGUUAGGGGCCCUGAGAGGGGGAUCCCCCACACUGGUACUGAGACACGGACCAGACUCCUACGGGAGGCAGCAGUGAGGAAUAUUGGACAAUGGGCGGGAGACUGAUCCAGCCAUGCCGCGUGCAGGAUGACUGCCCUAUGGGUUGUAAACUGCUUUUAUACGGGAAGAAACGCACCUACGUGUAGGUGUCUGACGGUACCGUAAGAAUAAGGACCGGCUAACUCCGUGCCAGCAGCCGCGGUAAUAC